GAUGAAGAACGUAGCGAAAUGCGAUAAGUAAUGUGAAUUGCAGAAUUCAGUGAAUCAUCGAAUCUUUGAACGCACAUUGCGCCCCUUGGUAUUCCGAGGGGCAUGCCUGUUCGAGCGUCAUUUAAACCUUCAAGCUAAGCUUGGUGUUGGGUGACUGUCCGCUUCACGGCGGACUCGCCUCAAAAUUAUUGGCGGCCGGUACAUUGGCUUCGAGCGCAGCAGAAACGCGAACUCGGGCCCGUCGUAUUGGCUCCCAGAAGCUAUCUUCACAAUUUUGACCUCGGAUCAGGUAGGGAUACCCGCUGAACUUAAGCAUAUCAAUAAGCGGAGGA
rnacentral:misc_RNA from 1 species